GACUGUGACCAAGAUUACAGCUGAGGACCUUUCUGUCCAUCAAGAUCAUAAUGAAAUUAGAGGCACCCCUUCACAAACCUCGCCUUGAGGAGUCUGGGAGAAGCUAAACUGGAUACAACUGUUAACAUUUGUUUUGCUAAUACAAUUUACGGAUGGAGUGCCAAUUACCAAGAAAUUGGAAGCUGGGACCAAAGGCUUGACCAGACUCAUGUGUGACGCUUCUGCAAGAUUAUAUAUAGGUGGUAUUAUCUUUUAUGUUAUCAAUGCUAAAAUUCUACCAGAUCUCUCUAGGCAUUAUGGUGCCUCAAGCUUAUCUCUAACAUAUUACUUAGAACUUGAAAAAUAGUUCAU